rnacentral:rRNA from 1 species
UGCCAGCCGCCGCGGUAAUACGGAGGGUGCAAGCGUUAAUCGGAAUUACUGGGCGUAAAGCGCGCGUAGGCGGUUUGUUAAGUGAGAUGUGAAAGCCCAGGGCUCAACCUUGGAACUGCAUCUCAUACUGGCAGGCUAGAGUACGGUAGAGGGGGGUAGAAUUCCACGUGUAGCGGUGAAAUGCGUAGAGAUGUGGAGGAAUACCAGUGGCGAAGGCGGCCCCCUGGAUCGAUACUGACGGUGAGGUACGAAAGUGUGGAGAGCAAUCAGGAUUAGAUA